rnacentral:rRNA from 1 species
UACGGAGGGGACUAGCGUUGUUCGGAAUUACUGGGCGUAAAGCGCACGUAGGCGGAUUGUAAGUCAGGGGUGAAAUCCCGGGGCUCAACCCCGGAACUGCCUUUGAUACUGCGAAUCUCGAGUCCGGAAGAGGUGAGUGGAAUUCCUAGUGUAGAGGUGAAAUUCGUAGAUAUUAGGAAGAACACCAGUGGCGAAGGCGGCUCACUGGUCCGGUACUGACGCUGAGGUGCGAAAGCGUGGGGAGCAAACAGGG